GGAAAACGUUGGCAGCCCAAGAAGAGCAAAAAGCCUUGAAAGGGACAGGGAAGAACUUCAGGGAUUUUGAACAGGCAUAAUGACAUUAACGAGGACAAGUCUAGGCCCAGCUUCAGCUGGUUACAGGAAAUUGACUCAGGGAAUGGGUAGACAAGACAUUAAAUCACGUCAUAGAUGUUGGCAGCCAUGGUGCUGAAGGACCUAUGAAGCUGUGGUUCAGAUGUCCUUGGCUCCUGUGGGGUUUUAAUCUGGAAAGAAAACAGGGCCAUCGGAUGGGAAUAACUUGCUACAAAGACUCUUCUUGUGAAGCUGGAUGUGGUGGUACUGACCUGUAAUCCUAGAACAUGAGACUGAGGCAGGGGGAUCACUGUCUCAAAAAGGUGACACCCUGUCUCAAAAAUACAUAAAUAAAAUAAAGUUUUAAAAAAUU
rnacentral:lncRNA from 1 species